GGGGCCAUAGCUCAGCUGGAGAGCGCCACGCUUGGCAGCGUGGAGGUCAGGGGUUCGAGCCCCCUUGGCUCCA
rnacentral:tRNA from 1 species